CUCGCGGCGUAGCUGUAUUAGUGCUCCUCUGCCUUCUGGGAGCUUUCCAUGACAGAGGUUAUCUGGGGAUGUCAGCAUCCGGAGAAAUUCGACUUGUAGAGAUGGUGUCGAUGCCGGACCGCUGCAGAGAGGGAUACGUCGAGGUCCGUGACGGUGAAUGCAGAAGAAUCGUGAUGUCAGGCGCUGUCCGGCCGGGUGAAAGCAGCGUGGCACGAUUUGGGCUCGUUUCUGUUCUGGCAUUGAUUUCCAAUGGUAUUGGUUUCUAUAUCAACUCAUAAAGGAUUGAUCAAACAGGACGAGAACUGGCGGAAUGUUAAGUCAACGUACAUGAGAACCACUAAAUGGCUACUGCGUUAGUAAUAGAAUAUCAAAAAAUUGUUAUUUAUUUAGUUUCUAACCUAGAAUCUAUCAGUAUUACUUGUAUCUUUGAA